UUUAAGGUGGCAGAUAAAUGCGUUAACUUUAAGCGUUAAUUAUAAAGACAUUCUUUCCUUGCAA
rnacentral:tRNA from 1 species